UUCCAGCUCCAAUAGCGUAUAUUAAAGUUGUUGCAGUUAAAAAGCUCGUAGUUGAAUUUCGGGGUUAGUAGGCUGGUCGUGCCACUGGUAUGUACUGGUCUUACUGACUUCUCCUUUCUGAAGAACUGUAAUGCCAUUAAUUUGGUGUUGCAGGGAAUCAGGACUGUUACUUUGAAAAAAUUAGAGUGUUUAAAGCAGGCUAACGCUUGAAUACAUUAGCAUGGAAUAAUGAAAUAGGACGUUCGAUCCUAUUUUGUUGGUUUCUAGGAUUGACGUAAUGAUUAAUAGGGAUAGUUGGGGGCAUUAGUAUUCAAUUGUCAGAGGUGAAAUUCUUGGAUUUAUUGAAGACUAACUACUGCGAAAGCAUUUGCCAAGGAUGUUUUCAUUAAUCAAGAACGAAAGUUAGGGGAUCGAAGACGAUCAGAUACCGUCGUAGUCUUAACCAUAAACUAUGCCGACUAGGGAUCGG
rnacentral:rRNA from 1 species